ensembl:snRNA U6 U6 spliceosomal RNA
GUGCUCGCUUCAGCAGCAUAUAUACUAAAAUUGGAACGAUACAGAGAAGAUUAGCAUGGCCCCUGAGCAAGGAUGACACAGAAAGUCUUGAAGCGUUCCAUAUUUUU